GACGAACGCUGGCGGCACGCCUAACACAUGCAAGUCGAACGGAGAUAAAGACUUCGGUUUUUAUCUUAGUGGCGGACGGGUGAGUAACACGUGAGCAACCUGCCUCUGAGGGAGGGAUAGCUUCUGGAAACGGAUGGUAAUACCUCAUAAUAUAGCGGUACCGCAUGAUACUGCUAUCAAAGAUUUAUCGCUCAGAGAUGGGCUCGCGUCUGAUUAGCUAGAUGGUGAGGUAACGGCUCACCAUGGCGACGAUCAGUAGCCGGACUGGAGAGGUUGAACGGCCACAUUGGGACUGAGACACGGCCCAG
rnacentral:rRNA from 1 species